UACGAAGGGGGCUAGCGUUGUUCGGAAUCACUGGGCGUAAAGCGCACGUAGGCGGAUUGUUAAGUCAGAGGUGAAAUGCCAAGGCUCAACCUUGGAACUGCCUUUGAUACUGGCGAUCUCGAGUCCGGGAGAGGUGAGUGGAACUGCGAGUGUAGAGGUGAAAUUCGUAGAUAUUCGCAAGAACACCAGUGGCGAAGGCGGCUCACUGGCCCGGUACUGACGCUGAGGUGCGAAAGCAUGGGGAGCGAACAGG
rnacentral:rRNA from 1 species